AGGGUCGGUUGUUGAACAGUGAACCAACCAGGAACAUUGAACCACCACCAUGUUGAAAAAACUGCGAGGUUGUCAAUUCGACCGAUCGUGUUAAAACUUCUCUCGUAGGCACCCUUCCCCUCUCCCGUAGCUAGCCGGUGGCCGCGGCUUAAGUGUGACGUGUGACAGCGGUUUGUUUGUUUCUCGCCAAAAAAACAUAGAUUUCUCACGAUGCCAAGGCCAAGAAAUAAGGAAAGAAAAAUUGGAAAACACAAUAAAGAGGAUAUGAUGUCAGCAUUACUAAUGAUAGAAAAUGGUAGCUCCAUUAGGACGGCGGCAAAAA